rnacentral:tRNA from 1 species
GCCUGCCUGGCUCAGUUGGUAGAGCAUGUGACUCUUGAUCUCAGGGUUAUGAGUUUAAGCGCCAUGUUGGGCA